rnacentral:rRNA from 1 species
AAGGCACGAAAGCGUGGGGAGCGAACCGGAUUAGAUACCCGGGUAGUCCACGCCGUAAACGAUGGAUACUAGCUGUNGGAGGUAUCGACCCCUUCAGUAGCGAAGCUAACGCGUUAAGUAUCCCGCCUGUGGAGUACGGCCGCAAGGCUAAAACAUAAAGGAAUUGACGGGGGCCCGCACAAGCGGUGGAUUAUGUUCUUUAAUUCGAUGAUAACCGAAGAACCUUACCAGGGCUUGACAUCCAGGGAAGGUCUGCGAAAGUAGACUGUGCCUUUUGGAACCCUGUGACAGGUGAUGCAUGGCCGUCGUCAGCUCGUGUCGUGAGAUGUUAGGUUAAGUCCUUCAACGAGCGCAACCCUUGUGAAUAGUUGUAUUUUUCUAUUCAGACUGCCCCGGUAACGGGGAGGAAGGAGGGGAUGAUGUCAGGUCAGUAUUUCCCUUACGUCCUGGGCUAGAAACGUAAUACAAUGGCUAGUACAAUGCGCAGCGAAGCCGCGAGGUGAAGCAAAUCGCAUCAAAGCUAGUCCCAGUUCGGAUUGUAGGCUGAAACUCGCCUGCAUGAAGUCGGAAUCGCUAGUAAUCGCAAAUCAGCAAGUUGCGGUGAAUACGUUCCCGGGUCUUGUACACACCGCCCGUCAAACCAUGAAAGUGACCAACACCCGAAGUCCGAUUCGUCGGCCUAAGGUGGGGGGCAUGAUUGGGGUU